UAGUGGCGAACGGGUGAGUAACACGUGGGCAAUCUGCCCUGCACUCUGGGACAAGCCCUGGAAACGGGGUCUAAUACCGGAUAUGAGCCUCCAUCGCAUGGUGGGGGCUGUAAAGCUCCGGCGGUGCAGGAUGAGCCCGCGGCCUAUCAGCUUGUUGGUGAGGUAGUGGCUCACCAAGGCGACGACGGGUAGCCGGCCUGAGAGGGCGACCGGCCACACUGGGACUGAGACACGGCCCAGACUCCUACGGGAGGCAGCAGUGGGGAAUAUUGCACAAUGGGCGAAAGCCUGAUGCAGCGACGCCGCGUGAGGGAUGACGGCCUUCGGGUUGUAAACCUCUUUCAGCAGGGAAGAAGCGAGAGUGACGGUACCUGCAGAAGAAGCGCCGGCUAACUACGUGCCAGCAGCCGCGGUAAUACGUAGGGCGCGAGCGUUGUCCGGAAUUAUUGGGCGUAAAGAGCUCGUAGGCGGCUUGUCACGUCGGUUGUGAAAGCCCGGGGCUUAACCCCGGUUCUGCAGUCGAUACGGGCAGGCUAGAGUUCGGUAGGGGAGAUCGGAAUUNCU
rnacentral:rRNA from 1 species